rnacentral:tRNA from 1 species
GCCCACGUAGCUCAGUUGGUAGAGCACAUCCUUGGUAAGGAUGAGGUCACCGGUUCAACCCCGGUCGUGGGCU